UAAUAAUAAACAGUGAGCCAGAAAUGGAAUGUCUGGAACAGUGGGAAGUUCCAACCAGCACAAGUUUAUUGUUAGCACCCACAAGCCUGAUCUCAGGUGCCAGGAUUCCUCCGUUCUCUUCCCAUAGGUGAGUCAGGACACAUCUCAUAUCCCAGGAAGAAGAUCAGCCUUUGAGCCUCUUUCCUAUUUAUCCUUCCCAUGUAUAGAAUCACUGUUUGAAACUCAUUAUUUUUAAAUUUCUCAGAUACUUCCAAGAUGCUCCAAUUGGGAAAAGCUCGUCAGUAUCGCUUGUUCCCAGGAUGCUCAACAUUGGCUCAGCCAUGGCCUCCAGCCCAGCUGAUAUUUUGCAAAAGGUCAGUAACUUGUAACUUGCCCAAGGUCACACAGCAAAUAGGAAGGAGAAUCUGAGGUCUGCAUCCACGUAGUCUGAUUUCAGAGCCAGAGCUUGUAGCAGAUUCUAUAGGUGCCCCACCCACGCGUCCUCAAGCCUCACCAUUUCAGAGCACGCCAGCCAACUUCUAUUUGUGUGAUCUGUCAGCAAAGAAAGCUAAAAAUGCCAGGGCUCAACUAGUGACUGCUGGGAGUUGGUAUAUAAAUAUAUAAAUAAAAAUUUAAAACUUCAAUCUGUGUCUCA
rnacentral:lncRNA from 1 species